AACACAAUCAACAAGUUAACAGUAAAUAAACAAGGGCAAUGGCAACAUGGUAAUGAGAUCAAGGUUACUCCUCUGAGAAAAAAGAAGCCUCUUAUCGCUAUGGCUCAGCACUAACACUACCUCCUCAGAAGGAAGAUGAAGCUCUCCCGUUUGUCAAGGUUGCUUUGAAACCACAGGUUCCAGAAUGAAAUACAGAACUCCAGAACCCCCCCCCCACCUCCCCGGCUGAAGUGAAGUUAGCUUCUCCACCCAUGUCAGCCAUAAGACUUAGAAAGAACUGAAGAUUUGCCUCCUGUUCAAGAAUGAAACUUUACAUAGAACCAACUGUCAGCUCCAGAUCUAUCUGAUACAGAAAGUUCAUGUUCUUAAUUACUAUGAAGAAAUAGAGGAGGCUUCUGGAUUGGUCAACACGCGAAGAUGGGAGAGUGAUGGACCCAGAGAGAGCUCCGAAGUCCUAUGCCUCUCCCUCCCCCCAUACAUACCCUAUAUAUCUCUUCCAUUUUGGCUGUUCCUGAGUUGUUCCUUAUA